GUGUGUGUGUGUGUGUGUGUGUGUGUGUGUGUGUUCUUCUAUCCAUGUUGGGACCUAAAGUCCCCACAACGAUAGUAAAACAAGUCAAAUUCCCAUGUCCUCAUGAGGACAAAGACUAUUAGGUUAGGUUUAGGAGUAAGGUUUAGGGUUUGGGUCAGGGUUACAGGUUAAGGUUAGGGAAAAUAGGAUUUUGAAUGGAAAUCCAAUUUUAGGUCCCCACAAGGAUAGAAGGACAAAACGUGUGUGUGUGCGUGUGUGCGCGUGUGCGCAUGUGCUUGCAUACGUGGGUGUGUGCGUGUGCAUGAGAAAAUGUGUGUAUGUGCAAGGAAGAGUGAUAGAUGACACUUGGUGUAUGUGUUAGUGUGCACUUCUGUGUGAAAUUCACUAUCUUCACAUUUGGGGACUAUUUAUAUUUCCAAUGCUGGAGGCCAGCAAUCUAGUAUUGGGAUUCAGUUAGAAGACUAUUUUUAAUAGGUUAGACCAUUUUAAGUUCAAAGCACUUGCAGUUAUUGCACUUACAACAGAAAUGUGUGUAACUACUUUGAAAUAUUUUGCUGUACUUGCUAUACCCACUGAAUGGAGAUCUUAAUUUCAUUCAUGAGUUAAUUAUCAAACGCAGAAUUUAAUAGAACCAAGUGAAGCACUCAGAUCUUUCAAUUGCAUUGCUCAAUGUAUAUGUUUCUUUCCCCGUAGAGUAUCCUACAUACAGCAGCUAGUAUUGUGGAUAAAAAAAUGUAUCUAACAGUUCCAUGUUUUACGCUGCCUUAUGCUCAGAUUGAUGACACAGAUUCAUGUUUACUGUCUUGCACUAUCCCUAUUGGUUCAUAAUAUCAUUAUGCAUGGACACCAGGCUCUCAGAUGUAUGGGGCGCUGAGUGGAUCCUUCUUAUAUCCUCCAUCCCUCAGUGCCAAUGUGACCCUCUGACUUAAAAUAAUAGUUAUUCUAUCUCAAAACUGGGAUUCCUAAAAAAUGUGUCCGAGGAUUUGGUCAACUUCCGUCAGAUGUUUAAAAUCCUAAAUGAAUCAGGAGUGGGCAGGGUCAGCUAUACCAUAAGGACCCCUUAUUCAUGUCCUCAUUACAUGUAGCGUAGCAAGACCACUCAUGGUCUGUAAAGUUCUCUACUUUUGAUAGAUUUAAACACACAAUUUUGAAAUCAUAAUGGUCACAACCAUAAACUGUCAAGAAAAGGGCAAUUAAACUCUGUCAGAUUUCAUCAGAGUGCUGUAAGAUCUGAGAAUUGUUGUGUUUUUAUUUGGGAUUUUCAAAUGAAUCAUUUUCUAUAUUUUACAAAUGUUUGUAUUUUUGAAACAAAAGUAGAGAUUGUUCCGUCUUUCAAGAAUCUCUGAAUUGAUUUGAAAUUUACAAAUCCGGUGACAAAUCAUUUUUAUUUGUUAUCUAUUCAUGAUCCUUAUUUUGAGAUGAAAGACUUCUGCGUUAGUUAUUCAUAUGUAAAAAGUCUGAGGGUAGAAAAAUACUUUUCCUUUGCAAAGGGGGGGGGGUGAUUUGCCGUUUGAACAGGAAGUCUGCCAUAGACGAUAGUUUCACAUUCUAUCACUGACGCUGUGAUCUGUCCCAAUUAUGCAUGAGAACAUACUGUAUAUUCUGGCUGUUUUGUUAUUACACAAGAAAAAGCUGAGGUAAUCAUUCAAGUUAUGAGCUCAGGCCACAGUGGAUACCGCAUGCAUAAUUUAUCCUGUCAUUUGAUUUUACAUAACAGCUAUAUGGAGAAAAGGGGGACAAAAAAAUAAAGUAUUUUUUAUGCUUUGUUAAUUCUUUGUUGAUUGGCUAAUGUUUGGCUCAGGCUCACAAUAUUUGCAAUUAGAUUAGGG
ensembl:lncRNA